UACGUAGGGUGCAAGCGUUGUCCGGAAUUAUUGGGCGUAAAGAGCUCGUAGGCGGUCUGUCGCGUCGGAUGUGAAAACCCAGGGCUCAACCCUGGGCCUGCAUUCGAUGCGGGCAGACUAGAGUUCGGUAGGGGAGACUGGAAUUCCUGGUGUAGCGGUGAAAUGCGCAGAUAUCAGGAGGAAAACCGGUGGCGAAGGCGGGUCUCUGGGCCGAUACUGACGCUGAGGAGCGAAAGCGUGGGGAGCGAACAGG
rnacentral:rRNA from 1 species